rnacentral:rRNA from 1 species
UACGUAGGGUGCAAGCGUUGUCCGGAAUUAUUGGGCGUAAAGAGCUCGUAGGCGGUUCGUCGCGUCGGCUGUGAAAUCCCGAGGCUCAACCUCGGGUCUGCAGUCGAUACGGGCGGACUGGAGUUCGGCAGGGGAGACUGGAAUUCCUGGUGUAGCGGUGAAAUGCGCAGAUAUCAGGAGGAACACCGGUGGCGAAGGCGGCGACCUGGGACGAUACUGACGCUGAGGUGCGAAAGCGUGGGGAGCAAACAGG